GUAGAAAGCUAUUAAAAAAUUGCUAGCCUUACCAAAAUGGGAGAGUAUGGGUUUUAAUGUGUAGCAGAGGUAAGGUAUCUUUAAAAAUCUGUAAUUUUGAACUGCAAUAGGACUGAGAGAGGUCUUGAAAUAAAAUAUUUAAUUACCAAAUCAUUUUUUUUAAAAGAUCCAGAGCUUGCAAUUGAUUUCAUUAGCCUCAGCUGAGCUCACUGGUGAAACCCCUGGUUAUUACUGGUGCUGCUGUAUUGGUUUGGUGGGCCCCAUCAGCAAAUUAUUGUGCUUGUAAUGGGCUUUGCAUGCUAAAAGUGAAGCUAUUCCAAACCMAACACCCUCUCUGUCUUCUCUGAUAGAGGCAACUAGYUUAUUUCCUGGUGUAAAAGCAAAAGCAGUUUCCUUGACUGCUUGUGUUCACAAGGCUGUGAGGGGAAGGGCUGGUAUGGCAAUACCUCAYGCUCUGCAGGGCAGAAAUCAGCCAGGAUUUACCUGAGGGGCUGUGAUAUUUAGAAAGGAAUUCCAACGGGAAUUGGCACAGUGACCUUCAGCUGACUCUGACAGGUUUGCACGAUCGGUGCCUCACUGCAGGAAGAGAGAUGCUGCUUGCUGAUGGCCAGGAGCCCUGACGGUGUCUGGGGAAACCUGCCUGCCUGCAGCAGCUCACAGGAUGGCCACUGGUAAAGGCAAGCUUCUGCAAAACCRUCUGAAUGUUGCUUGAUCACUGGGYUGAACUGGCWUUAGAGCUGAGGGCAGUUUUUGCAUCAGCCUCUGCAGCAGACAGAUCCCAGAAUCACUCAGAUGAAGACCUGGUGAGGUGCAGAGGUUUAGAGAUCUCUUUUCCCUAGGGAAAAUAAAAGAAUUAGCRUGUCAUUAAGCAGAGGUUAUGGAAGAAUUAAAGCACUCAAUAAGACAUGAUGUUCUCCCUAGUUCAGUGAUUAUAGGCUCUUCUCACAAGAGCUGCCAUAUUCCCUCUGCCUCUGGCACAAUUCAGAUGUCCUGAAGAAAAGGCUUUCUUGCAAUCUUGUUUCUGUGUAUUCUUCACCAGGCACUUGAAAUCCAUUUUAUGAACAUCAGUUUGUUCUGAGUUGUACAUUGCCAAGAUUAUGAUCCUUAGGGAACAGGACGUGAAACCGCAGAGCGAGGAGAUGAGGUGAGCGAGAGGCUCUGAAUUCCCUCGGUUGGGUCACCCCCUCUGUUUCCCAAUUCAAAGCAAGAGGCCAGACAGGCAGGCAGCUCUUCCUUGAAGACACCCAGGUUCUCGAGAGGUGUGCCAGUGUCUGGCAGACGCGGUGAUGGCAACGCACGGUGGACACAACACGGUCACGCUUGCUCAGGGCUGURAACAGUCUCCAAAGGCACCGGCCGGCUCUCACCGCCUCCUGGAGAGCUCAGCGCAAGGAUCCUGCCCAGGCACACCCAGCCCUGGCGUAUUCCUUCCAGGAGAGGGCAGGGGAAUACAGUWUAUCGCAGAUCCGCUCCCGAACCGGAGCCAUCCCAUCCCAUCCCAGAUCUGCCUCUACGUCUUGAGCCUAUUUUGCUUUCCUAAACUUAGACGAGCAGAGUGGUAUUGAGAGGGUGAGAUGCUCUGAAAGGUUCUUCAGAUGUGAAAAAGAGUCAGAUCCCUCCUCCAUCAUGGUGUGCAGAUGCCAGCACAAAGUAUGGUGGCCAUGCAUCCCCUCCCAUGGCAGCACAUGUUUGGAUCAGCCUGAACCUGCUGAAAACUUUUCAYCUUCCCAUCUCCAGCCUCAGAGAUACCCAAGAGCCCUGCAGCUGCACAGUGGGCAAAGGAGCCAGCCUCCAGUGGUGCUUUUAGGGAAGCGAAAAGGCUGUGGGCCCAGUAAAAYGGAUGAAACUUGAAAAGCAGAACUGGGAAAACACCGUUUUAUUUCCACACAAGGAGAGAGAGGCCUACAGUGGAGGRGUACGAAUGGUGUGCUGUGCCAUGUGCCCUCAAAAAAUGGUGCACAGACUGUUGUCAUAAGGCUGCAUUCUGGUAUCCYAGGCUGCACAUUCCCAAGGAUGUGAAAAAAGGAAAAAAUGGAUUUGAAAAACCAUGAUUGAGCAGACAAACUGACUGCCCUGCAGCCAUUGUGAGCUUCCUCAGCCGGACUACACCUCUGCAGGAGUUGAACAUGAAUCCUGAUCCAUACCAAAUAUUGCAUAACUAUAGUAU